UUAUUUCUCGUAUUUUAAAUAAACAGAUAAAAAGUGUACGAGUUGAAGAAAGGAGCGAAAACAGACUAAAAAGAAGCAAAAAUUGACAAAAAGGGCCACACAUGUGCAGCCAAUUGGGCCACACAUGUGCAGCCCACACAAAACAAACACACAAGUCCACAAAAGAAGAACAAGUGCUGCUCGCCAGCUAGGGGAAACUGGCAACCGCCAGCUUAAACCAAGUGGCCCUCGCCACCUACACAAAAUCAUGGCCAUCCAUUUUGAUCACACGGCCAGGCGUGUUUUUAACUCAAGUCCCACAUCGGUUAUUUUGUUGUUUUGUUCCCCUAGCUACUACUAUAAAUAUGUGUCCUUUCUUAUACUUUAAACACACACCAACUGGUAACAGUUGAGGAAGAGAAUUGAGACUAAGAUUUAAUUCUUGAUUUCUUCUCUUAGUUUAAUAUUUUUAUUUCCUGCUGUCGGUGUCCGUAUUCAAGAUUUCCUUUAUUAAUUCAGGUUCUUUAUUU
rnacentral:lncRNA from 1 species